rnacentral:rRNA from 1 species
CCUAGUAACGGCGAGUGAAGCGGCAACAGCUCAAAUUUGAAAGCUAGCCUUCGGGUUCGCAUUGUAAUUUGUAGAGGAUGAUUUGGGGAAGCCGCCUGUCUAAGUUCCUUGGAACAGGACGUCAUAGAGGGUGAGAAUCCCGUAUGUGACAGGAAAUGGCACCCUAUGUAAAUCUCCUUCGACGAGUCGAGUUGUUUGGGAAUGCAGCUCUAAAUGGGAGGUAAAUUUCUUCUAAAGCUAAAUAUUGGCGAGAGACCGAUAGCGCACAAGUAGAGUGAUCGAAAGAUGAAAAGCACUUUGGAAAGAGAGUUAAAAAGCACGUGAAAUUGUUGAAAGGGAAGCGCUUGCAAUCAGACUUGUUUAAACUGUUCGGCCGGUCUUCUGACCGGUUUACUCAGUUUGGACAGGCCAGCAUCAGUUUCGGCGGCCGGAUAAAGGCUCUGGGAAUGUGGCCUCCACUUCGGUGGAGGUGUUAUAGCCCAGGGUGUAAUACGGCCAGCCGGGACUGAGGUCCGCGCUCGGCUAGGAUGCUGCGUAA